rnacentral:rRNA from 1 species
AACUGAAACAUCUAAGUACCCCGAGGAAAAGAAAUCAACCGAGAUUCCCCCAGUAGCGGCGAGCGAACGGGGAGGAGCCCAGAGCCUGAAUCAGCAUGUGUGUUAGUGGAAGCGUCUGGAAAGGCGCGCGAUACAGGGUGACAGCCCCGUACACAAAAGCGCAUGUGCUGUGAGCUCGAUGAGUAGGGCGGGACACGUGGUAUCCUGUCUGAAUAUGGGGGGACCAUCCUCCAAGGCUAAAUACUCCUGACUGACCGAUAGUGAACCAGUACCGUGAGGGAAAGGCGAAAAGAACCCCGGCGAGGGGAGUGAAAAAGAACCUGAAACCGUGUACGUACAAGCAGU